AGAAGGGAGUCUUACGAUCCAAUCCUGAGAAAUACCACACGAAUACUAUCUUCUUCUGGGAUUGUUCGUCAGAAGAAGAUUAAACAUGACCUCUUCCUUAAUCCAUAAUACGCAUCCUUCAACAAAAUACGCAUCCUUCAACAAAAAUACGCAUCCUUCAAUACAAAAAUCCGCAACUUCAUCCGUCAUGUAAACUGCAUAAUAUGACAUUUAACCAUGAAUAUUGUUUUCAAUUAUAUUUUACAAAAGAUGUAAUAAGAUCGUAUUUAUUUGUACAUAAACUUAUUAAAGCUAAUUUAUUUUA